GAAAUGGAAGUAUCAGAAGCAUGCGAGAUUUUCUAUCUACAUGUGUGGACACUAAGAGAGUUGGAAUGUUUGACAGUCAAAAAAUGAUAAGUAGAUUUGAAGUACUCUCCUGUGGAACUCAGCUCACCAAAGCAAUUGAAAACUGACCAAGAUUCCAUCUUGAACUCAAGAGAGUUAAAAUAUAUUACGACUACUAUUGGUAAGUGUAGGGAGCGGCUCAGAAUGGCUGCCACUGUCCUGCCCCUCCCACCUGAGGGCAUUUUGUGUGUCAGCCUACAUUUCCCAUGAUCCUCCCCUUGCCUACAAUGUGAUGACAUAAGCACCUUCUUGCUUCAGCCUACAUCUUCCAUAAUCCCCUCUUGUUGACAUCACUUCCAGUUACCUAUGUGUCAACAUAUGACUUCCUGCUAGCCUGAUAGGCCCACGGCAUAUGAGGAGAUCCAAGCCGGCCCAUCCUGUAAAGCCAUAUCCCCUUUGACUCUAUAUAAGCCAUGUACACUUCCUGAAUAAACGGGACUUGAUUGGAAUUGGUCAUCUUGUCCUCGUCUCUCGUUUCUCUUGCCUAGCCCUCCAUCCCCUUCCCCUCUCCAGGCGAAGCCUAUGGACCGAUCCGCGGGCUGGAUCAGCACAGGGAAGCAGAGGUGAUGACCUGAAGAUCAACCGAUUGUGGACAAGACUAACACAAUAGCUGAGAGUUUCUCUCAAGGACUAACGUACUGCCUUUCCACAGAGACCAGGCCUCACGUCCGCCAAGUAAGGCGACCGGGCUCGGCUGCGGCUCCCAACACUCCUCUGCACACCGAUGGCUAGGCGCGGCUGGGCACAGGCCGAGGUGCCUCAGGAACCCGGGAUCCCUCCUCCUCCAGACAAAGGAAGGGGCUUCUGCAGGCGCUCUGGAUCCGCGCAGCUCCUCCUCUGCACACCGAUGGCUAGGCGCGACUGGGCACAGGCCGUGGUGCCUCAGGAACCCGGGAUCCCUCCUCCUCCAGACAAAUGAAGGGGCUUCUGCAGGCGCUCCGGAUCCGCGCAGCUCCUCCUCUUAAAAGAAGCUCAUGCUGUAUCUCAGGUUUUUAAAAAGUCAGCUUUUACAAAGUGGUGUAAUAGUGUGCAAGGUCUUCUUAAAAUACAAGCUGGUGACCAUUGUCCGUGGUUUCCUCCCAUUACUUCACUGCAUUCCCAUGUACUAAGCUCUGCACCAUUCUCAACAUGGUGUCUCGGUAGUUUUUCUCUCUAUCUGCUUACAACAUGUUUCUCUAUUAGGGCUUACUUUUUUGUCUUCUUUGACUACCAAAAUCAUCCAUAUGAAGCAGCUCAAAGGCCAUCUUUCUGUGAAGUCCUCUUCUCUUCCUUCAGACAAGUAAUCAUUUAUUGCUCUGUUUCCCAUAGAGCUGUGCUCAGGCUUUCAAGUGUGAUUAUAGUUUAUUGUAGCUCUCUUUAGUCUAUGAGUGCUAAUAAAGCAAAGACUCAUUUUAGCUUCCUUAGGGCCUCAAAGCUCAAGGAACAUUUUGUACAGAAGGGUGAAUGAAGGAUGAGUUUCUAUUGCUUUUGUGAUUCUUGUUACCCCUGAAAAAUUUAUUCAUGAUGAAAGUUCCUGAUCACUCAGUGAAUAUUCUAAGUACAUGAACUUUCCAGAUAAUAAAAUUACUUGAAAUAUUUUCGAAGGAAAAGAAUUUUCAAUGUAUGACUUUUCUGUAUCUGGCAGGGCAUUAAAAAGGGAAAUAUUUGGGAUCCACUUCUGUAAUUCCAGUUAUAAGUAGAGGAAACAUGCAGAUGGCUUAUUGGCAUUGAGAAACAAUCACUUGCAUUUCAGUUUAUAACUCACUCCAGUGCUGUGGCUACUCAGUGCUAUUCAAUUAAUAACAGCACUGAAAGAGAAUGUUUGUUCUCCAGGGACAAUAUCCCAGGAUAAGUUGGUUCAUUUCAUAGGAUUAAUUAUCAUAGGUCAGUGAUUAGUUACAAUUGGUCCUAAGUGAGAGACCAGAAAUAUGAGUAGACAUGGGAUUAUUAGGCAAAUGGUUAAAGAAAUUGAAAUAAUUAGAUGAAAGCCAAGAAUCAUAGGUUUUGCAUGUAUUCAGAUUUGGGGCCAUGUAUAAGAAGGUUAACACAUAAAACAGAAAGGGAUUUCAGUUCACAGUGUUCCUCCAGGGGCGAGGUUGGGGAAAUCCCUGAGGGGAGGGCAUAUCUUUACUGUGUUACAGAGAAGUCAGGCUCCGGUAGCAAGUUAACAACCAAAAUCGGCUGAUAAAAUGGUUGGUUCCUAGAGUCUGUCUCAUAUGGAAUGUAUAGGUGUUGGACAAAACCAAUGUUAAAAAACAUUGCAUAGGGAUUGCCUGGGAUUUUGACUAAGGGAAGAUUCAUUUUGAGGUGAUGGCUUUCUUCAUUUCCACUGUACUGCAAGUUAAUUCUGAUAACUGCUCGUCAUUAUUCCCACGAUGCUGGAAGAAUAUUCAGAAUAAUAGGGAUAAAUUACAGUAUUUCAUAACUAUUCAAAGACAGAUUUCAGAAUCAGAAAACCACGAUUUUGGGUUUCAACCAGAUGAGACUUGAAAAAUUUGAUGAUGCUGUUAGAGCUUUACAUUCCUCACCUGUGAAGCGGAAAUGCUUUUGGCCUCCUCGCGUACUCCUGAUCCAGAUUAAUAAGUGGUACGUAGAAUAUUUCAAGUAGUGCUUGGUGCAUGCUAAGCUCCGAAUUAACAUUAGUGAUUAUAUUUUAACUUUAGCACCAGGUUUAUUUUCAUUUUUAGGAUUGGUUUACUCAGAUUUAUUUCCAAGUGUAUCAGAAUUGUAAAAAGACAGCUGCAGUGUAAAAACAGGUAAUUUUUUUUUGUUUGUUUUUUUGUUUUUUUGUUUUUUUUUGUUCUGGACAUGUAAUGUUUAGUAAAACUCCAGUUAGGUUCUUCCCUAUGUGAAAUUAUCUUCCUGAUGAACUAUUAUACAAUACACAAUUGAAAUAAUAGCUAUUCUCUUAUUCUAUGCCUUCCCAAUAUCAGUGUAGCUCAGCAUUUUGAUUCCUCUUUUGUUUCUGUUUGCUGUAGGUAUGUCUUAAGACUAUGCAUAUAAUUGACUGACUUUUAUAGCAGAUUUCUUCAUUUUCACUAGACAUUCUGAAUUCAGGGACUGAGUUGAAUUGUACAUUGCAAGCCUAACUUCUAUAUUGCACAUGUAUCAUGGUAGCAAUGUCUCCUUUAAAAUGAUCAAUGAACGAAAUGCAUGGAUGAAUAGUGAAGGAAUGAAUGACCUGGAUAAGUCAACCCUUUUUGUUCAUAUUUCCUUUCUAAAAAUUCCUCCGAUUCCCAGGAAAUUUCUAUCUUUCCAGGAUGAGUUUGGGAGUUUAUCCUCCCAAAUCAUGAUAAUCUCUAUUAAGUAUUUUCAAGAAAAAUACUAUAUUCUUCUUUCUUCUUGUGGAAUUUGCAUCUUCAUUAAGGUUUAUAGGCAUUAUUAAUAUACACGGUAUAAUAGAAUAUUGUAUAAGAACAAGCUACAAACUGGGAGAUGAGCCACGUGUUUGAAGAAAUCGUUAAAUUUUUCAAGUGUUCUUCAAAAGGUGAAUGGUCCAGUCAGCUCAGUGUAUGCAUAAGUUUAACUUUAUACUAUGUUGAGUUUGUAUCCCGGAAUAAAGAAAUUGAUCUAUUUA